GAGAGAGAGAGAGAGAGAGUAGGAAAGAUUUGUAUGGACGCCUCCGGACGACUCCGAGGGAGGACGUCAGAGAAAUGCAAAGUACCGCGUUUUUCCCCGGCCACACUCCGAAAGGGAAAAACGGGGGAGAGAAGGAGAGAGGGAGAUUUGUAGGGACGCCUCCGGACGACUCCAAGGGAGGACGUCAGAGAAAUGCAAAGUACCGCGUUUUUCCCCGGCCACACUCCGAAAGGGAAAAACGGGGGAGAGAAGGAGAGAGGGAGAUUUGUAGGGACGCCUCCGGACGACUCCGAGGGAGGACGUCAGAGAAAUGGCAAAGUACCGCGUUUUCCCCGGCCACGCUCCGAAAGGGAAAACGGGGGAGAAAAGGAGAGAUUUUAGGACGUUCCUGGACGACUCCGAGAGGUAACGUCGGAAAGCAGCAAAAGUUCCACAAUUUCCCUGGCCCAGCUCCGAAAGGGAAAUAGGGGGAGAGAAAGAGAAAGUUUAGGACGUUCCUGGACGACUCCGAGAGGUAACGCCGGAAAACAACAAAGGUUCCACAAUUUCCCCGGCCCAGCUCCGAAAGGGAAAUAGGGGGAGAGAAAGAGAAAGUUUAGGACGUUCCUGGACGACUCCGAGAGGUAACGCCAGAGAUAGAAGGAAGAAAAGGUCCAGCUGUCAUGGGGACGUUGCUUUCCACCCCCCUCCCAAUGUAUUUUCUUCAAACCAUACUCACGUUCAUAGAUGUCCCUCGUGGAUCCCGGGAUCCUUUCUCUUUAGCCGGCUUGACCUUGCCUUUGCUUCCCCUGGUUGAGCUUUUGGUGACGAUUGAUUACCGCCCGCAAAGAGGAGGCAGGGAGAGGAAGAAGGAUUCCUGGGCUAAGGUUGCCCAGUGGCGCCUGAUCCUCUCUAUCUCCCUCCUCACCUUCGCAGGAGAACCAAGUGUCCCUGAGCAUGGUCGCCAAACUGUUACCGGAAAAAUCCGAGGGCUCCCUUGGACAAAAACAAAGACACCAACCAGGAUAACUUGGAGCAAAACAGCAGCCUGUAGGCUUGGCCUUUAUUGAACUGUUGCAACAGGGUGUUCCCCUCACUUGCAAGAGAGAGGAAAGACCCAGAAAGAUGGUGUGCAAGACCUUAUAAAAACUUUUGAAAUUCCCAUCCUCUAGGUCAAGCCCACCCCCAGAAACAUCAUGCAUACAUUACAGAAAGGAGGGGUUGACAUCAUGCAUACAUUACAGAAAGGAGGGGUUGAGGUGGUAACCUGAGUGUCCUGUCACCUGGCUGGUUCCUCCUUCCCCCCUGCCCAUGAGUCACUUCCAGGAGACAAAGGGGAGUUGGCAGUUUCCUGCCCCCAGAGGGAAGAUCUGAUCAUUGUCCUUUGUUUCAGUUCAUGCUGAAUCCACUCCCAUAUGCAAGUUCUUUGUGAUCUUGAUGGUCUUCUGUCUAGGACCAUCAGGGUUGGCAUAGCAACUGGGCAGGGCUCCUGUGGAUGUGCUGGGAUGGUGAAGGGAUUAUGGCUGACCAAAACCAAGCCACCCCCCUUUGAUAGUCCUUGUCAUAUGGAGUAAAAUAAAAAUGGAACAGUGCAAAUCCGAUAUAUGGUUGAUUUUUCUAUGAAUUUAUAACAGAAGUGUGGCAUAUGUAGUGUGUGAGUGUGAGUGUGUGAAGUUUGUACAAACUGAAUGAUUGGGGUGGGGGGUUCCUGCUACACAGCCCUGUGAAGAACAUGCAGGGAGUCUUAACAUAGGAGUAGAACUCCUGUUUAUUCAGUGGAGAGCCACACAUGGUGACUUUUACAUUCUCCCCAAAGGAGACUGUGUUUCACAUGCACCUUGGUUCAUGUACAGAUGACUUCUCCCAAGGAACAGUAUGUGAGGACAUCCCCUUAGUGAGACAGGGUGAAAUAGGAAUAAUCGUAGUCCCUCCAAAAGGGUUCGGUUUCUUAAGGAAGACUGGACCUUCAGAAGGAGCAUGCUUUGAGGCUCAAACCGGUUGGGACAUAAACAGAGACCAGAACAGGAUUUACGGAAAGCAAAGCGGCUAUCAG